rnacentral:lncRNA from 1 species
CAUCUUCAUCCUCUUCUAGACUCGGACCCACAUCAUCAUCAUAUUUGACAUUUACAGAAUCUUAACGGAUAAGAAUGACAUUCGGCUUGGCUUAAUAAGAACACUUCUUGUGGGUUCACUGGGAUUAUAUACAUUCACAGAGAGAGAGAGAGAGAGAGAGAGAGAGAGAGAGAGAGAGAGAUGCUGGUGUCCCUUGGCACCCUCCAAAAGCCAUAUUAAGGUAUUAAGGUAAGUACCAACUUCAAACUACUAUAUAUUUUUCUUUUUUUCACUCCUAACAAGAUUUUCUGAGAUCCUUCUUAGCAUCUAAUGCUGUAAAUAAACUCCGAACACGUAUAAUUCCUUGAAAAUUACAUAUUAAGUCAUUCGGAAUUAAAUAUUAAGUUCAGUGGCACUUUUUUUUUUUUUAAUCUUCUGAAGAUAUCUCAAAUCCGAAUCCCCCGUAAACUAGAUAUUAUCCAUUAAUUGAUCUACGCGUUUUGCUGUUCAUGUUAAUUUUGUAGUAUAUAAAUGCAAGGGACUUGUUAAUGAAUAUGGAUAAGGAAGAGGGAUAAGGGGAGAAUAUAUAGGAGGAAGAAGAAAAAGACACAAAAAUAAUCUUCAAGCUCAAGCGACGUCUAGCCAUGGUGAUCCAGAGGCUGGAAAUGUGUAUAGAGCUGAUGAAACUGGCCCUGGAGUUUGUCCUCCUUGUAGCUCAAGCAGUGGAGAUAGCCCUUCAGCACAACGUGUCUCCAUUCACCAGCUAUUCAGCUUAUAGCAGUGUUCCAGUUCAUUUUGUUGGUUUUAUUCCAUAAGUUAUAUUCAUCAUUUUCAUAUCUCUCAUGUAAAGCUUCAGGUUGGUGCAAAUUAACUCUACUUUUUUAAGAGCUUAAUUUCCUUUUUCCAGUAGAGAUUUGUAGCUUUAUUCAUUUGUGAGAAAAAUCUACCCAUAUAUAUGCUUGUGAAUUUAGUCAUGGAAUUUUUUUGGCCGUAUGAUUUACAGCUGAUAUGGUAAUGUUUGAGACCAUUGUCAAUUUUCAAUCUCC